UUAAAGGUGCAGUCAAAUUUUGAGUAUUGCAUCAAGAACCGAAUGUUAAUAUCAGUUUUUGAUGAAUUACUUAAAUUAAGCUCCUCUAAUCUCUU
rnacentral:pre_miRNA from 1 species